UCUAGGUCCAUCCAUGUUGCUGCAAAAUGGCAUUAUCUUGUUCUUCUUUUAUGGCUGAGUAAUAUUCCACUGUAUAUAUGUAACACAUCUUCUUUAUGCAUUCCUGUCGAUGGACAUUUAGGUUGCUUCCAUGUCUUGGCCAUUGUAAAUAGUGCUGCAAUGAACACUGGGGAGCAUGUAUCUUUUCGAAUUAUGGUUUUCUCCAGAUAUUAUGCCCAGGAGUGGGACUGCUGGAUCAUAUGGUAGUUCUAUUUUUAGUUUAAGGAACCUCCAUACUGUUCUUUAUAGUGGUUGUACCAAUUGACAUUCCCACCAACAGUGUAGGAGGGUUCUCUUUUCUCCACACCAUCUCCAGCAUUUACUGUUUGUACUUUUUUUUAAAAAUUAGUUUUAUUUAUUUUUGGCUGCGUUGGGUCUUUGUUGCUGUGCGUGGGCUUUCUCUAGUUGCAGUGAGCAGGGGCUACUCUUCGUGUGGUGUGCGGGUUUCUCAUUGCGGUGGCUUCUCUUGUUGCGGAGCACGGGCUCUAGGGUCACGGGCUUCCGUAGUUGUGGCUUGUGGGCUCAGUAGUUGUGGCUCACAGGCUCUAGAGCUCAGGCUCAGUAGUUGUGGUGCACGGGCUUAGUUGCUCCACGGCAUGUGGGAUCUUCCCAGACCAGAGCUCGAACCCGUGCCCCCUGCAUUGGCAGGCAGAUUCUUAACCACUGUGCCACCAGGGAAGUCCUGUUUGUAGACUUUUUGAUGAUGACCAUUCUGACUGGUGUGAGGUGAUAUUGUAGUUUUGAUUUGCAUUUCUCUGAUAAUUAGUGGUGGUGAGCAUCUUUACAUGUGCUUUUUGGCCAUCUGUAUGUCUUCUUUCAUUUAGCUGUAUUUAAUAUUUCUUUAUUGAUCAAACUGUCACAACCUGGCCAAUAGGAGUCUCAUUAAACAGGCUGCUUUGUCCUCUCAGUACUGCCUCGGACAUUUUUGAAAGCAUCCUUGUUUUCUGGGAACAAGAUAUUCCAGGCCCACUGUGAUCCCUGCCCCCAAAACAUAUAAUUUCUCCUCUCCAAGAAGCCCUGAGUGGUAUCAGAGGCCCAGUCUGGCCCAGGAGUAUACAUCCCACUUGAUCUGCAUAAGAGCUGGUUGUAGCAGGACGACAUGGCUGUUGGGCCACCAGGGAAACUGGCCUGGGAAAGACAGAUCUUUUUUUUUUUAAUCAUUAUUAUUAUUUUAAUUUUUAUUGGCGUAUAGGUGAUUUAAUGUUGUUACUUUCUGCUGUACAGUGAAGUGAAUCAGUUAUAUACAUAUAUCCACUCUUUUUAAGAUUCUUUUCCCAUGACAGAUCUUUUUAAGGUCCUGAGUUCAUACAGACAUCUCCAGCUUAGCUGUCAUCACUAAAUCCUUUCUCAUUUCGUUCUAAUAUGAUUUUUUUCCUAUUAACAUAUGUACUUAAAAUGUAAUCCCUUCUUUACCGGAUAAACAAAAUGUGGUAUAUCCAUACAAUGGAAUAUUCUUCAGCAAUAAGAAGGAAUGGAUGCUUGCUACAUGUCAUAUGGGUAAGCCUCAAAAACAUUAUGCUUAGUGAAAGAAGCCAAAGAAGAUCCAAAAGAUGUCUGCUGUAUGAUUCCAUUUAUAUAUGAAAUGUCCAGCAAAGGUAAAUCUAUAGGGACAAAGUAGAUGAGUGGUCACCUGGGCUGGGGUAGGAGUAGGGAGCUUUGGGGAUGAUAGAGAGGGACUGUGGUGAGGAAUAGUACAACUCCAUAAACUUAAUAAAAAUCAUUGAAUGUAUAUUUAAAACAGGUGAAUUCUAUGGGAAUGUAAGUUAUCUUAAUACAGUUCUUAAAAAAGUAAACCCUUCUUUCAACUUCUACUUAUACCUCAGUUGGUUACGUUGACCCAAGAUGUUCCAUUAUAUUGACUUUUUUAACUAAAAAAAAAACCAUAAACCUGUCUUCCAUACCUUGCAGUUGAUACAUCCCUCCUGGUCACAAAUCUGCCUUAUUCUAGUUAACAGUCAUAUCUUCAUUUGGACGCCAAGUAGAGCCAGAAUCGGAUACUUUAUUGCUCAUCUGUUCAUUCCUACCAUUUUUUCACACAGGCACUUCAUUUUUAUGAAAUAUUUUGAUUAUUUUCCCCUCGGGUGAUUGAAGAAGAUCAACAGUUGCUAUGAUUGUGACUUCCUGCCGAGCUGCUGUGAGGAGGUGGCAUCCUCGUCGCACACAAACACCGUGCGGGGAUGCUGCUGGAAGGCAGACACGGUCCACAUGUGGUUCACUCCCUCCUCGAUGGCCUUGUAUAGAGCAAACGCCUUGUGAGCACCCGUGAUGAGGAUCAUCACCUGGGGAUCAGAAAACAAGCCUGUGAUGGAGGAGAAGGAGUAGCGGAACGGGGAGUCUAGACACCUGAAUCCUGGUGGCCACCCAGGACAAUCAAAUGAGAACACACCACACGUGUGGUCCACAGUCAGCUGGGCGACCACAUCCUGCAGUUCCCGUGACUUGGUUCGCCUCUUCCCUGGGCCUCGCUGCGACUCCGGAGCAGCUUGAGAGAGUGGGCUUCUAACGCACGCGGGAUCUUCGUUACGGACUGCAGGAUCUUUGUUGCGGCAUGCGGGAUCUAGUUCCCUGACCAGGGAUCAAACCCAGGCUCCCUGCAUUAGGAGCUCAGAGUCUUAACCACUGGCCCACCAGGGAAGUCCCAACAUCAGGAUGGAUGAUUCAGAGCCAGCAAUUCACAUAAAAAGAAUUGCACAUGGAAAGUAUUACUGCUAUUCUGUGGGGAAAUAAGCUUCUAAGUACAGCAGUCUGAAAUUAAUAACUUUCUCUGUGGAAACUCUCUUGACAACAUCUCAAGAUGAAGCCAAAGAGUGCAAUUUUUACAGCCUUGGAUUAUCUUCUCUGUCUGCUUGGCUUGUAGCAGGCAUGGAUCCGUGAGUCAGAAAUUCAGAGUUUGCCCCUUUGCUGUACAGUUUGCUCGCCAACUGGAGACCUUACACAGCAGUGACUCAAUUUCUCAAUUCCCCAGUUCACGCAGCCAUUGAAUCAACACACAUCACCUCAAUUUACUUACAAAAGGCUUGUUUUGGGGGGGGGCACUCCGUGCAGCUUAUGGGAUUUUAGUUCUCCAACCAGGGAUCGAACCUGGGUCCUCGGCAGUGAGAACAUGGAGGCCUAACCACUGGACCACCAGGGAACUCCCAAUCUACUUACAAAAGGCUUUGGGGGAACUCAGAGAAAAAAAAAAAAAGUCCUCACCGUUAACAGAAAACAUACUGGUUCAGGACAUCAGAAAAGGAGCAAGAAAGGGAGAUUGGAAGCUGGAGAUCCACUUUUUUUUUUUUCUUUUGAGAGAAAAUAUUCCUGUGAGAAAGCCCAGUGUUUAUAUUAUGAUAAAUAUGUAUGUCCACAUGCAGGGAGUAUAUAGCUAUUGAGGGAGAAAGUAAUUUAGGAAAGAAGUAGAUGAGAAGGACAGCAACUUCUUAUCCACAGAAGCCACAAGAGUGCUGCAGACACGCAUGAAGGUGGCAGCCGUUGCUCCAGUAGCCAUAUGUUUCAGCACAGACAUCUUUUUUUAUUCCUUCUUACCCAUAAAUUUAGAAAAUCUGAGCAAAGAAGUCUGGAUUUCUACUUUCCAAGGAUGAGAUUUCUUAAAAUUUCAAAUUAGACUUUUUUUCCCUUAUAUAAAACCACAAGGUAGGAGAUUAUGUUUGGAAUGACUCAGUGUACAUCAGUUACAUUUGAAGGUUGUUUUUCCGGAUUAAAAAGAACAAUUGUGGGACAGACUAAGGAGCAGACCCCUUGGAAACUCUCGGACCGGCAUGUUGCUGGAUUUGUUCACUCUCCCACAGUGGACAUAUGUGAGGCCAGUGCUUGGAAAUAGGGACAGACAUGUUGGAGUUUGGAUACUGGUAGAGAACUCAAAGUGAGGAAGAGAAAUAUAUAGAUUUUUUUUUUUUUUUUUUUUUUUGCUGUACGCGGGCCUCUCACUGUUGUGGCCUCUCCCGUUGCGGAGCACAGGCUCCG